GGUGCCUUCGGGAACGCUGAGACAGGUGCUGCAUGGCUGUCGUCAGCUCGUGUUGUGAAAUGUUGGGUUAAGUCCCGNAACGAGCGCAACCCUUAUCCUUUGUUGCCAGCGAUUCGGUCGGGAACUCAAAGGAGACUGCCGGUGAUAAACCGGAGGAAGGUGGGGAUGACGUCAAGUCAUCAUGGCCCUACGAGUAGGGCUACACACGUGCUACAAUGGCGCAUACAAAGAGAAGCGACCUCGCGAGAGCAAGCGGACCUCAUAAAGUGCGUCGUAGUCCGGAUCGGAGUCUGCAACUCGACUCCGUGAAGUCGGAAUCGCUAGUAAUCGUGGAUCAGAAUGCCACGGUGAAUACGUUCCCGGGCCUUGUACACACCGCCCGUCACACCAUGGGAGUGGGUUGCAAAAGAAGUAGGUAGCUUAACCUUCGGGAGGGCGCUUACCACUUUGUGAUUCAUGACUGGGGUGAAGUCGUAACAAGGUAGGCGUAGCGAG
rnacentral:rRNA from 1 species